UACGGGGGGGGGCAAGCGUUGUUCGGAAUUACUGGGCGUAAAGGGCUCGUAGGCGGCCAACUAAGUCAGACGUGAAAUCCCUCGGCUUAACCGGGGAACUGCGUCUGAUACUGGAUGGCUAGAGUGUGGGAGAGGGAUGCGGAAUUCCAGGUGUAGCGGUGAAAUGCGUAGAUAUCUGGAGGAACACCGGUGGCGAAGGCGGCAUCCUGGACCACGACUGACGCUGAGUGAGCGAAAGCCAGGGGGAGCAAACGGG
rnacentral:rRNA from 1 species